GCCCUUUCUUCUUAAUGAAGGUGAAUAGAAACAAGGGCUUAGAUUUUGCCCCUCUGAAGAGAGCUGACCCUUAUUCAUUGUCUGAGUCUUUCUGUGGCCUCCCAAGUUUUCUCUUUAUUAUGAAAUAUGAAAGCACAGGACCCAAAGUCCAAUUAGAUAGGAGGGAUGUGGAAGGCAGCAGGUGGAAUUUUCUGAGAAGUUAGUACCAGUGGAGAGAAAAGACAGGUAUCGUAGGUCUUGGUAGGCACAGGUCUGGGCCUUAAGAGCCUUUAUCAGCCUGCAGCGUCAUCAGCCAAAGGGAGGACAAAGUCAGGGACUAUAGAUCCAGAUAGGAGUCAGAGUUGGAGCAGGAGUGGCCCUAGGAAACAGGAUAGAUUCCAGUUUUCAUCCACCUCUCGCUGUGAUUAAGGAGGGUUCACUGGAAUGGGUUUGUGGCUGCAGUUCACUGGAUGGAACCUGCAUACAGUUUGCUGCUGGUUAAAACAAAGAUGGAGGGCUAGACCUUCUGGAAAUUUUUAAUAGUGUCAUUCUCUCAUUUUUCCCUUGCAUUUUGAUAACCCUGCAAAGGCAGCUUUACUGGAUUUAUAGUGUUCUUGUCUCUGCCCUUCUUUCUUUCUUUCUUUUUUUUUCUUUUUCAGCCUAGCUGAGGUUUCCCUUUUAGAAAAGGACUCUUUUAAAUUUUGAACCCAAGGUCAGACCAGAGAAAAGGACUCUUAAAAUUGCCACCAUCUUCUCCUCUUUACCUUCUGGAGAACCUCAACUUUCAUAUUGGUUUCUUCUUAUAGUAAUUACCUCAGACAGAGUCACUAACAGUAGUGUAAUCACAGACUUUUAAAGCCAUGAAGUGCCUUAGAAUUGACCUAGUCUAGCCCUGGUCUGUUCUGCGAAUGAAAGCCAUGACUGUGGCUCCUUGGAAGAACUCUGAAAACGGAGCCCAAAUCAGCCAGGAAUAUAAGUUGAAACAGCCACCGUUGAGUUAUGAUGAUCUCAUGCGUUCAUAUGUUCCCAGUUACCUUUUUGGUUUUCUCCUGACUACGUGAUUUGUUUGUUUCUACAGACUAGGUAAUACAUGAGGGAAAAAAUGGAGACAGAAAAGUCAAAUUCUGCUGUCCUGUAGAUCUGUUGGUGUGCGAGGACUUGCCCUAGCACAUUCAUUUCUCCUUAAGAAAAUAAUUUCUUGGCUUGUAUCACUUUCUUCCUUCCUUUACAGAGGAAUCAUGGAAGCCCAACUUCUGACCUGAGAAAAGAUGCAGUGAAUUUCUUUUUUUGAGUCAGUGACUAUUGGUUCUUUUCCUUCUGGUGUCUUAAGUCUUUUUCCCUUUGUAUUUUCUGUGAAGAGUCAGGAUUCUGAGUCACAGAAUUCAGAUGAGAGACUACAUAUGAAAUCACAGCAGAAUGGGCACAGUUACAACAGGUAUUUCAUGGGCAUUAGAACAGAAUCCAAGGAUGUUUCUUCUAAAAUAGAAAUACUUAGGCCAAUCUGAGCCAAUGUAAGUGGACAUUUCUGUCUUUUCUUUGAAUAAAAAUUUCAACAUCAAAUUUUGUGUUCGUUGUGGAUCCAGAUAUAGAGAUAGGCAGAAGAGGAAGAGUCUAAGCCUCCCUGCGACUCUCUUUCCACAGUCCUUGCUUUGAAAGGUGAUUCCUGCUAGCAGUUUCAAGUGCGGCCUUCUCAGAAGCUUCCUGUGUGUUUAGCAAGCAUAGGUGUUACUUACGAGAAGGUAAUCUGUGCCAUCCUGUUUCACCGGAUGUGUCUUAGAGAUCUUUUCAUAUUAGCAUUUAUAAAUCACCUCAUUCUUUUAAAUUACCAAAUAGUGCUUAGGUAGUUUUAAAUUUUUAUAAUUUGGGGAACAUAUCCAUUCUGAAAUGGAAUUUAAGAAUCAAGUUCUUAAGUUUGAAUCAAAUCAAAUCAAAAGAUAGGUGCUCUUGAAGUUUUGGCAGUGCCAAAGGUUGCACCAGUGUACACUCUCCCAGCAUCAUGGGAGCCUGCCUGUGUACCCUGCUCCCCUGGCAGCAUGUCCUGUCAUCUGGCAUUCCCAUUCCUGCCAGACUCACGGAAAAUGGUAUGUUAUUCAUGUUUUAAUUUGCAUUAAACACGUAGUGAGUGUGAGCAUCCUUUUAUGUGUGGCCGUUUGUAUUUCUCUUUUCGUAAUCUGCCUUUUAUAUCCUUUGCUCACUGUAUUCAUCUUUGUUUUACUAAUUUUUAUGCUGCUUUCUUUGUGGCUUAAAGAAAUGAACCCUAGCCAGUUGUGGUGGCACACACCUAUAGUCCCAGCUAUUCCAGAGGCUGAGGUGGGAGUAUCGCUUGAGGCUUGAGUUUGAGGCUGCAGUGAGCUAUGAUCACACCGUCGCACUCCAGCCUGGGUACACAGUGAGACUCUCUCUCUACAAAUAAUAAGUGAAUUAACUUUUAAAAAGAUGCUAACCCUUUGUCAUAUGUUUUGUGAAUUUAUUGUCCUAGUUGUUGAUAUUUUGGCUUAUGGGAUAUUAUUUUUCAUUCAGAAGCUUUUCAUUUUCAUGUCACAAAUGAACAGACUCAUCGAGAUUAUGACCAUAUUAAUUCAUGCUCUAUUCUAAAAUUACUCAGGUUUUAUUUUAGAUUAACAUCUUUGAUUAAGCUAGAAUUCAUUUUGGUAUGGGUAGGCAUUCAGCUUAGUUUUAUCCCUAAUGUCUAGCUGGCUGUUUAUUUACCUAGCACCCUUGACUGAAUAAUCCAAUUUUUCUUCAUCAAUUCAAAGUGCUACCUGUGUGUUUCAGUAUUUCUUGAGUUUGUUUUCUGGCCUUUUUCUUCUCUGCUGCAGUUUUAAUUACCAAAGCCUCACAUCCUUUAAUCUCUGGUAGCUACACCCUCACAUUACCCUUUCUUCCCUUCAUAUUUUUCUAACUAUUCUCAUAUGUAUAUUUUCCCAUAUUAAGUUUAACAUCCUUUUUUGUUACACUUCUGUAAACAUCAUGUUGGUAAUGUAAGUGAUAUUUUUAAACACUGAGGUGUAUGUACAAGAACUUUUACUGCUGGGGUCUUUCUACCUCUGCUUAGGUCCCCUUUGUUUUCCGUGUUUUUUCUUGUCUAGUUGAGAGGCUGGGGAGGAUUUACCAGUGUUUGGGGUAGAACAGAGUUUGUCCAGAGAAACCAACUACAUCAUGCCACCUAGAGGUGGGCAUUAGUUUGUCAUGGAGGGAGGCCAUAGGACACUUUCAUGGUCUCAGGGACUCACUGGCCUCUCAUAGGUCAGCGCCUCUUGAGCUAGUUCUAGAGCAGAUGUGCUGACCUGGAUCUCAAAGGUGCAGAGCUUGGCCUGCCUUCUGCUCCCCCUCACUGCUCUCCUUGGCUGCCUCUGCCACAGGUCUCCUCUUUCUUCCUCCUCAAGUUCUGCCCCCUGCAUGGGUUGGAGUUAGGGGCAGUCCGAGAGCAGCCUCAUGAGAGUAGCCAAGACAGAGAAGAAGCCUGUCCUCCUGGCACAUCCACUUGGCACCAGAAGGAUGCGCUGGCCAGGAGGUUUUGGCUGGCCACACCUGCUCCAGCCUUGCCCUGCUGGUAGGUGGAGGCAGGGGGCCAGUACCCCAGGCCUGCCCACGACUCGAAAGGCUAGUGCCCUAGUCAGCUUCUUCUUAAACUUCUCCCCAACUUUUACAAACCUGGACUCAGGGCAACUCUGGUAAGGGUGCUGUCUGGAACGGGCAGCCAGUUUGUUUCUAUUUUGAGGUGAAGGUAGAAAUGACCUCCCUCUCAAGAGAUCUUCAGGCCCUUCUCAGCAGGAACAGAUGCCAGUUUCUGCUUCUUUGAAGAAGCAUUUUAUACUCUUAGUGUUUACUAAAGAAUAAUGAGGCAUUUUUAAGUAUUAGGAGUAGAAUAGAGUUUAAAGAAAACCAAAAAAUCCCAGGCCUCUGUGUUCCUGGGACACAGAAGGAGGGGAGAUUGAGAGUCAUGACUUGCCUAAGAAUGCUUAUCAUGUCUGUGGUGCUUGGAGUCUGUGGCCCAGGUGAUUUGAGGCUCGGGGACGCCUCGUGGGCAGAGAGGACCUUUCAGCAGCAUUGUGAAUGAGUGGGUUUAGGGUGCUGAUGAAUUGCAAGGUUUGAAUGUAUUCCUCGCGCCUCAUUUUCCACUUUAGAGAGAAGAUGAUCGAUGCAGAUUUCCUUCGCAGGCUUGUCAGAGGGUCACUUUCUGGUUCCCGCUAGCGCUCCUUGCGCCUGAGACAGAAAACUGGAAAGAGGAUGGAAAUUCAGUAGCGGUUUGGGGAAUUAGUGUUGGAUAAGGAUGGUAGUUGAAGCCGUGAGCUGGAGUGGGGCAAGAAAACACUUAUUUCUUUGCUACUGCUUCUGAGCUGAAGUACAGAUGACAGUGCAGUGAAGACUACUGCAAAGCUUCCAGGCCCUUUGCUUCUCAUGGCGCCUGGCUGCCGCUCCUGGCUCUUCCACAAGAGCUUCUUUCUUUGUCUCUCGCCCAACUGGGCAACAAAAUAGAAUCCAACUGUCUCGCUGUCCAAUUCAAAGGCCCCACAGUCUGCCUGGAGCUUGCUCUUCCAGACUCUGUCAUUUUCCACCUCUGCCUGGACUGUCCUCUCCCUGGUGCGCCUGGGGCUGAAUGCCAGUCUCUGCUCUUGUGUGGAGCCCUCUUGGACAAACGUGGCCCUGCUCUUCUCUGACCCCCACUCCGCAUCACACCUUAAAGAGAGCAUUAUUUGGCCCUUACUAUGCCUCUACAUUUAACAUGGCCAGCUGCCUGUUGCUUUUUUCUUUAAAAGGAAUAGUAACACAUGAGCUCUUUGAGGGCCGAAACCAUGUCUUUUCAGCGUUGUGUCUUCCACAGUAACUGACAGGGGCCUUGUUUCCAUGCAGUGAACUUUUAAAAAGGUUGUUGAAUUAUGAGAUUGAGAAAUUAUUUUUUUAAACGUUCAUUUUCUCUGUUGGGAUUCCUGAGAUUCCUGUUCCAUGUCCAGUCAUUUCCUGUGAUUUUCUCUGAUGGCUGUGAUUUCAUAAGCUUGAUUGUGCAGUAUGUAUUGUGGCAUCUGUUUUCUUCAGAUAUGAGGAGGGCCACACUGCAGGCCUGUUGGUUGCAGCUUGUUUUCUAACUUCCUGUCUGCUGAUGUCCUUGUCUUAUGUUGUCUGUGCCUAGGACUGACUGACUGAAAGUGCAGGUUUUUGCUACCUGCGGUCUCUGGGCUGGGUCAAGCUAAAGCCUUUGCCUAGGUUGACACACUGCAAGUAAACCCCAGCUGUGAUCCACUCUGUCAGCUUAGUGGAAGCUGGCCAUGUUAAAGGUAGAGGCAUAGUGAGCUUCGCACAUGGUGACUGAGUCUUACGUAGAGAGGGAUAGGUCAGGACUCACCUUCUGGGCUCUUUCAGUUCCUGAAGAGAGUGUGUGUGUGUGUAUGUGUAUUUGUGUAAAGACCAGUGAUGUCAUCUCAGAAUAAGACAGCCCUUGGGACUAAGCAAAGUGCUAUGAGAAUAUUUCUAGUACAAGAUAUUACUGAAAAGCAAGAGCUUAAUUUCA